CAACUGACGAGUCCCAGAUAGAACGAAAUACGUAUCCUG
rnacentral:hammerhead_ribozyme from 1 species